rnacentral:rRNA from 1 species
UACGUAGGUGGCAAGCGUUGUCCGGAUUUACUGGGCGUAAAGCGUGCGCAGGCGGUUAUGUAAGACAGAUGUGAAAUGCCCGGGCUUAACCUGGGAACUGCAUUUGUGACUGCAUGGCUAGAGUUUGGCAGAGGGGGGUAGAAUUCCACGUGUAGCAGUGAAAUGCGCAGAUAUCAGGAGGAACACCGGUGGCGAAGGCGGGGUCUCUGGGGCCGAUGACUGACGCUGAGGAGCGAAAGCGUGGGGAGCGAACAGG